rnacentral:sRNA from 1 species
GCAUUCUUAUUUGUAACGAACGAUGCCGC